rnacentral:rRNA from 1 species
CCUACGGGUGGCAGCAGUGGGGAAUAUUGGGCAAUGGGCGCAAGCCUGAUCGAGCAACGCCGCGUGAAGGAAGAAGGCUUUCGGGUUGUAAACCUCUUUUGACAGGGAAGAGUAGAAGACGGUACCUGUCGAAUAAGCCACGGCUAACUACGUGCAAGCAGCCGCGGUAAUACGUAGGUGGCAAGCGCUGUCCGGAUUUACUGGGUGUAAAUGGCGGGUAGGCGGGUUGAUAAGUCAGAUGUGAAAGCCUGCGGCUUAACCGAAGAACUGCAUUCGAAACCGUUGAACUUGAGUACUGGAGAGGCAGACGGAACUCCUAGUGUAGCGGUGGAAUGCGUAGAUAUUAGGAAGAACACCAGUGGCGAAGGCGGUCUGCUGGACAGCAACUGACGGUGAGGCGCGAAAGCAUGGGGAGCGAACAGGAUUAGAUACCCGGGUAGUC